GACGAACGCUGGCGGCGUGCUUAACACAUGCAAGUCGAACGGAAAGGCCCUGCUUUUGUGGGGUGCUCGAGUGGCGAACGGGUGAGUAACACGUGAGUAACCUGCCCUUGACUUUGGGAUAACUUCAGGAAACUGGGGCUAAUACCGGAUAGGAGCUCCUGCUGCAUGGUGGGGGUUGGAAAGUUUCGGCGGUUGGGGAUGGACUCGCGGCUUAUCAGCUUGUUGGUGGGGUAGUGGCUUACCAAGGCUUUGACGGGUAGCCGGCCUGAGAGGGUGACCGGCCACAUUGGGACUGAGAUACUGCCCAGACUCCUACGGGAGGCAGCAGUGGGGAAUAUUGCACAAUGGGCGGAAGCCUGAUGCAGCAACGCCGCGUGCGGGAUGACGGCCUUCGGGUUGUAAACCGCUUUCGCCUGUGACGAAGCGUGAGUGACGGUAAUGGGUAAAGAAGCACCGGCUAACUACGUGCCAGCAGCCGCAGUAAAAC
rnacentral:rRNA from 1 species